CACCGCCUGGGGAGUACGACCGCAAGGUUAAAACUCAAAUGAAUUGACGGGGACCCGCACAAGCAGUGGAGCAUGUGGUUUAAUUCGAAGAUACGCGCAGAACCUUACCAACACUUGACAUGUUCGUCGCGAACCUAAGAGAUUAGGUUCUUCAGUUUGGCUGGACGAAACACAGGUGCUGCAUGGCUGUCGUCAGCUCGUGUCGUGAGAUGUUGGGUUAAGUCCCGCAACGAGCGCAACCCCUACUUUUAGUUGCUACCAUUUAGUUGGGCACUCUAAAAGAACUGCCAGUGAUAAGCUGGAGGAAGGUGGGGAUGACGUCAAGUCCUCAUGGCCCUUACGUGUUGGGCUACACACGUGCUACAAUGGUACCUACAACGAGAUGCAAAGAGGCGACUCUAAGCUAAUCUUGAAAAGGUACCUCAGUUCGGAUUGUACUCUGCAACUCGAGUACAUGAAGCUGGAAUUGCUAGUAAUCGCGGAUCAGCGCGCCGCGGUGAAUACGUUCCCGGGUCUUGUACACACCGCCCGUCACACCAUGGAAGUUGGUUACACCUUAAGGCAAAAUGUUAACCUUCGGGAAACAUUUGACUACGGUACGAUCAGCGACUGGGGUGAAGUCGUAACAAGGUAGCCGUAGGGGAACCUGCGGCUGGAUCACCUCCUUUCUAAGGAAAUCGAAAAUAUUAUUUUCGAUUUAAAAAAAACCGGUAAUGUGACCGUCCUCAUUUCUCUUCUUUUUAAUGUCUCUGAGUAAAACAAUGUAAGGGGCCGGUAGCUCAGGUGGUUAGAGCGCACCCCUGAUAAGGGUGAGGUCGGAAGUUCGAGUCUUCCUCGGCCCACCAAUAUUUUGGGGGAUUAGCUCAGCUGGGAGAGCGCCUGAUUUGCAUUCAGGAGGUCAGCGGUUCGAUCCCGCUAUCCUCCACCAAUUAAUUGAGACAUUUAGCUUUUUUAAAUUGUGAAUAUUAUUAUCAAUAUCUAUAUCCGAUUGUUUUCAGAUAUUUUUUUGAAAACAAUCAAAACAAAAAUUUGAAUUUUACACAGAAAGUUUUUUUCUG
rnacentral:sRNA from 1 species